CAGAAUAAAUUGGCGAAUGACUUUAAAAAACAAAAGUACAGCCAACAGACUGAAAUACUAGAACUCAGACAAAACGACGAACCGCUAUUUUUCAGUGACUUCCUUUGCCAUGCUUUUAAUUUGAAACUGCGCAGGAAGUGUUCUUUACAUUACCGUAGCUUGCCUUUGGUGUCUGUGCCGACAUAGCGGACGGUAAUGAGGUGCUUAAUGUGCAGUAGAAGUGUACUGGAAGUGUUGAUUUCUAUGAACUCAAACUGGAUCCAAACACAAUGAACAGAAACCUCAAACUGUCUGAUAACAACAGGAAGGUGACAGAUGUGGAGGAGUAUCAGUCAUAUCCUGAUCAUCAAGACAGAUUUGAUGUCUGUCAGCUGCUGAGUAGAAAUGUUCUGACUGGUCGAUGUUACUGGGAGGUCGAGAGGAGAGGAAACGUUUAUAUAUCAGUGAGUUACAGAAGAAUCAGAAGGAAAGGAAACAGUGAUGACUGUUGGUUUGGAUAUAACGAUCAGUCCUGGAGUCUGUACUGCUAUGAUGGUCAUUACUGUGUCCUUCACAAUAAGAGACAAACAUCCAUCUCCUCCUCCUCCUCCUCCUCCUCCUCCUCCUCCUCCUCCUCCUCCUCCUCUAACAGAGUAGCAGUGUAUGUGGACUGUCCUGCUGGCACUCUGUCCUUCUACAGAGUCUCCUCUGACACACUGAUCCACCUCCACACCUUCAACACCACAUUCACUGAGCCUCUGUAUGCUGGGUUUGGGUUCUGGGUUGGUUCUGGUUCCUCAGUGUCUCUGUGUGGUCUGUAGGAAGGAGAGUCUCCUCCUGUCAGAGAAACGUUCUCAUGUUAUUUAGCACCAACCUGAUCUCUCACUGGUUGUAAAUAGAGUUUCUAAAGCCAACAUGGUUUCCACAUGACUGACAGUUAGUUAGUCAGUCACAUAUAUCCACAUUUAAAAAGCUGUAAAACAGAAGCUGAUUUUCUCAGAGCAGAUAUCUCAGUCUGUUAGAGGACUGUUUGGAGGUUCGGAGGUCGUGGCUUUGAUCCUUAUGAGUCUCAGUCAAUGUUCAAGUCCAACACCCAAAGUGAAACUCAGAAGCUCUCAGAGAGAAAACCACCAGCGGCUCAAAGUUUACUGAAACGUCAAGUUGUGACCGAGCUUUUUAAACAUGUUGGAAGAGUUUAGCCACUAACUAUAACACACAUAAUGACAGUAAGUAUCUGCUGGCCUAGAGAGGAACUUUGGUCUUUCUCCUCUUAUUUGGUUUUUUGGGCUUCUUGUUCAAUGACUUGUUUUUUUAAUCAUAUAGUGGAUUCAGAAACCAACAUGUUUUUAUGUGUGUCUCUACUGGAUGUGCAUGUACAGCUGUCAAUCAACAUGAUGAUUCAUCCAUUCAUAGUUUUGUCUAUAAAAUGUCAGAAAAUAGUGAAAAUAUUGUGUUUUUAUUAUUUUACUGUUUAGUUUUAACUUGUUUUUACAGUUUAAUAUUUAGUUUUUAUGUAAAUCACAUUGAAUUGACCCAGUGUAUGAAAUGUGCUAUA